GGGAAAGUAGAGUGGCGCACGGGUGAGUAACACGUAGGUAAUCUACCUUUGGAUUGGGAAUAACAACCGGAAACGGUUGCUAAUACCGAAUAAUGCAGCGGCACCUAAUGGUGACAGUUGUUAAAGCGGGGGAUCGCAAGACCUCGCGUCUAAAGAGGAGCCUGCGGCGGAUUAGCUAGUUGGUAAGGUAACGGCUUACCAAGGCGAUGAUCCGUAGCCGGCCUGAGAGGGCGGUCGGCCACACUGACACUGACAUACGGGUCAGACUCCUACGGGAGGCAGCAGUCGGGAAUUUUGGGCAAUGGGCGAAAGCCUGACCCAGCAACGCCGCGUGAAGGAUGAAAUCCCUCGGGAUGUAAACUCCGCAAGAACGGGAAGAAUAAGUAAGGGCUAACACCUCUUACGAUGACGGUACUGUUUGUAAGCUCCGGCUAACUCCGUGCCAGCAGCCGCGGUAAUACGGGGGGAGCAAGCGUUGUUCGGAUUUACUGGGCGUAAAGGGCGCGUAGGCGGCCACCGCAAGUCGGUUGUGAAAUCUCUGGGCUUAACCCAGAAAGGUCAACCGAUACUGCGGGGCUAGAGUGCAGAAGGGGCAACUGGAAUUCUCGGUGUAGCGGUGAAAUGCGUAGAUAUCGAGAGGAACACCUGCGGCGAAGGCGGGUUGCUGGGCUGACACUGACGCUGAUGUGCGAAAGCUAGGGGAGCGAACGGGAUUAGAUACCCCGGUAGUCCUAGCC
rnacentral:rRNA from 1 species